AGUGAACGCUGGCGGUAGGCCUAACACAUGCAAGUCGAACGGCAGCACAGUAAGAUCUUGCUCUUACGGGUGGCGAGUGGCGGACGGGUGAGGAAUACAUCGGAAUCUACUUUUUCGUGGGGGAUAACGUAGGGAAACUUACUCUAAUACCGCAUACGACCUACCGGUGAAAGCAGGGGAUCUUCGGACCUUUCGCGAUUGAACGAGCCGAUGUCGGAUUAGCUAGUUGGCGGGUUAAAGGCCCACCAAGGCGACGAUACGUAGCUGGUGUGAGUGGAUGGUAAGCCACACUGGAACUGAGACACGGACCAGGGUCCUGCGGGAGGCAGCAGUGGGGAAUAUUGGACAAUGGGCGCGAGCAUGAUACAGCCAUACCGCGUGGGUGAAGAAGGCCUUCCGGUUGUAAAGCCGUUUUGUUGGGAGAGAAAAGCAGCAGGUUAAGACCCAGCUGUUCUGACGGUACCCAAAGAAUAAGCACCGGCUAACUUCGUG
rnacentral:rRNA from 1 species